rnacentral:rRNA from 1 species
UACAGAGGUCCCAAGCGUUGUUCGGAUUCACUGGGCGUAAAGGGUGCGUAGGUGGCCAGGUAAGUCGGAUGUGAAAUCUCGGAGCUCAACUCCGAAACUGCAUUGGAAACUGCCUGGCUAGAGGGUUGGAGGGGGACUGGAAUACUUGGUGUAGCAGUGAAAUGCGUAGAUAUCAAGUGGAACACCAGUGGCGAAGGCGAGUCCCUGGACAACUCCUGACACUGAGGCACGAAAGCUAGGGGAGCAAACAGG